GACGAACGCUGGCGGCGUGCCUAAUACAUGCAAGUUGAGCGCUGAAGGUUGGUACUUGUACCAACUGGAUGAGCAGCGAACGGGUGAGUAACGCGUGGGGAAUCUGCCUUUGAGCGGGGGACAACAUUUGGAAACGAAUGCUAAUACCGCAUAAAAACUUUAAACACAAGCUUUAAGUUUGAAAGAUGCAAUUGCAUCACUCAAAGAUGAUCCCGCGUUGUAUUAGCUAGUUGGUGAGGUAAAGGCUCACCAAGGCGAUGAUACAUAGCCGACCUGAGAGGGUGAUCGGCCACAUUGGGACUGAGACACGGCCCAAACUCCUACGGGAGGCAGCAGUAGGGAAUCUUCGGCAAUGGACGAAAGUCUGACCGAGCAACGCCGCGUGAGUGAAGAAGGUUUUCGGAUCGUAAAACUCUGUUGGUAGAGAAGAACGUUGGUGAGAGUGGAAAGCUCAUCAAGUGACGGUAACUACCCAGAAAGGGACGGCUAACUACGU
rnacentral:rRNA from 1 species